ensembl:lncRNA
GAUGUCAUGGUUUUGUAACUUCGCUAUUGGUAUUCCACAUCAUAACAUCAUGGACAAAAGAGAAGAACUACGUAUCCCAGAGGACCUCACGGUCAGAGAAGGAAGACACAUCAGGGAAGAUACGUCAUCUGGUUGCGCGCGAUUCUUCUUCACUUUCGCUUGCUGCCGGGAGAGUGUGCUCCCAAGCCGGGAGUGCUUUCCCAAGCUUGGGUGUUCUUUCCAAGCCGGGCGCCUUCAUCAAGUUCCCAUUGCACUGAACUGAAUGGUGCUGUACAGUUUUUUCUCGUUAAUGCCAUCAUCAAUACUCAGAUCACUUUCUUAAGAAGAAUUAUUCACACUGCUGCCACCUAAAUUAAUGCAGCAUUUCCAGAAUACAUUUGACUGGUAUAUAUGUAAUCAGAAAUAAACAUUUUUGGACUUCUACCCUGGAUCUAUGAGAACCAGAGUAAUAUUAAAAAUGACAUGGUGAUUUAUUCAUGUUUCUUGAUUAACUUUUUACCAUCAAAUUUGUGACAGCUAAAAAUUCUUUCAGUUUUGAUGAUGAUUAAUCCAUAUGAUGUGGCAGAUAUCCAAUAAGUAUGAUACUAUGAGCUUGAGAGAGUGAACCCUGUAAAUUUAGAAGGCAUUGAAGGAGGCCUGAGAGAACCUCUAGGGGGCUUUGAGAUUUCGAUACUUUGAAAAUUCUGGAUGAGUUCUCCCACAGACCAAGGACCACCCCUUUGGCUGGACCAGCACUGGAACCUGGACUGAAGUGUAUCUCCUUUACCAGUUUAUUUGCUAGCUGCUAAUAAAUCCAACUAGUGAAGAUCAGGUUUGUGGCCACCUGAGGAACUUGAUCACCUACAAGUCUAUGGGUCCCAAUGAGAUGCAUCCCAGAGUCCUGAGAGAAUUUGCUGAUGUAGUUGCCAAGCCACUCUUUGUGAUAUUUGAACAGUUGUGGCAAUCAGGAGAAGACCCUGGUAACUGGAAGAAAAGGCAGCAUCAUACCCAUUUUUAAUAAGGGUAAAAGGGAUGAUCCUGAGAACUACUGUCCUAUCAGUCUCACCUCUGUACCAGGAAAGAGAGCAGAUCCUCCUGGAAGCUAUACUAAGAUACAUGGAAGGCAAGGAGGUGAAGUAGGAGAACCAGCAUGGCUUCACCAGUGCCAAAUCCUGUUUGACUAACAUGGUGGCCUUUUAUGAUGGUGUCACUGCAUCUGUGUAUAAGGGAAGAGACACUGAUGUCAUCUAUCUGGUCUUCAGUAAGGCCUUUUACAUGAUACCCCCAUUACAUUCUUCUCUCCAAAUUGGAAAUAUAUGGAUUUGAUGGGUGGACUGUUCAAUGGAUGAAGAACUGGCUGCAGGAUUGAGUCCAGAGAGU